CUUGUAGAGUUGCUUCUGGUUAUGAAAGGUCAGGAGGAUUCUGACCUUUCAGUCACCAUCAGCCGGCGCAAGUUCGGCUCGCGCGUCCGUCGCGCUGGCCAACAAGUCGCUGACUACGCUGCUGUUCUCCGCCAAAAUGCCAACGACUGCUGUUUUGGAGAUACCCUCGGGGACAGGCUGCUGGAACAGCUCAUCUUCGGAAUAGCAGAUGAUCAAAUGCAAAGAAGACUGUUGUCUGAGAAGAAUCUAAGUUUCAGCAGCGCCGUUGCCAUUUGCCGCACUAUGGAAGCGUCCAACUCAGAUGAUGAAGUGACGACCAGUGAUCAUACAUCCGAGAUCACAACUCGGCCAAACUCGGAGAGCACCAACUGGACGUGCAAUGAGGGCGAGAUGGGGCUGGAGGGCCUGUCGGCCGAGCUGGACGCCUCGAGGAAGGCGUGUGCCAACUACAGUAGCGAGUUGCUCCGAGUGAAGGCUGCAUAUGAGGAGUCUCAGCGGCAGCUCGCCUCUAUCCGCCGCGAGAACAACGUCCUGUCCGGCAAGAACGAGGACAUCACGGACCAGAUCGGGGAGGACGUCGGCAACCCAGGUCCCAACCGAACGCUCCAGCAGACCUUCUCGGCCAUGGAAUGGCUGCUGGAGGAGGCCAAGAACUGCGUCGAGGCCGAGCGCUUCAAGAGAUUAGAGCAGGACAUCAACGAGCUGGAGACCGCUCUCAACACGGCCAACGCGUCGAUUGCCGGAGAACAGGAGGCGGUGCGGCGCUACCAGGCCGAGAUCGGCGAAACAACGGCGCUCCUGAAGGAGGAGGUCCGGGUGAAGACCGAGCUCCAGGCGCAGUUGGACGCCUCAGAACGAGCCAGGGACGCUCUUGGCGUCCAGCUAGAGGAGAGCAGAGCUCUGCUGGAGCGGGCCGAAAGCAGCCGGCACCAGGCGGAGCUGGACCUGGCCAGUAGCAAGGGCAAGCUGUCUGCAAUGCAGGCCACCAGCCACGCAGCCAGCAUCGCCAGGCAAGAGCUUGAGAGCGAGGCGCAGUCACUCCGAGCUGAGCUCGAAAGAGCUCUGUGCCGGGCUGCUGAAAGCCGGCUGGCUGACGAGCAGCGCGUGGAACGGAAACGGUCUAUGGCGCUAAAAAAGCGGUGCAAGUUCCUCGAGGCGCAGUUCAAGAUACAGGCAACGCCAUGUACCAACUUUGAACAGCUGCCGACGAAGACGCAAGACCUCAUCCUACAAUACCUCAGGCCCUCACAGUUGUUGGCGAUCCGCGGAGUGUCGCGUGGCUGGCGCCAGGCAGUGGGCGACAGCCUUGAGCGCCGCCACCACCUGCACCUUACGGAGGAUGACGUGCGGCACGCCAACAACGAGCGGCUGGAGCGUCUGCUACGCCGCAUGCCGUCCCUGCGGCGGCUCACAACCGACCAUGUCAUCUGGUCACCGCCGGCGCCGUUAUCCGUUGACGUCGUCUCCCGGCUCGAAGGACACCUGGAAAGGGUGGAUUUGUUCCACUUCGACGCGGCCCCACAGCCUCUGGAGGGGCUGUGGACCAGGUGUCCCCGGCUGGGGGACGUCACGCUGCCUCGCGGGUCUGCCGAGCGGUGCGCGGAGGUGCUGCUUCGCCGCCUGCCGUCCCUGCGGCGGCUGGACGUGGCGCGGAGUAACGUGCGGGGAGAGUGUUUAUCGCUGCUCCCCGAGUCAUUGGAGGCUCUCUCGGUGGCCGAGUGUGAACAUCUACAGCCGGCCUGCCUGCGUCAGCUGACCCGCUGUCCUCGGCUGCGGCGGCUGGACGUGUCACGUGUGGAGGGGCUGCAGGCGGCAGACCUGGCGGCGGUGCUGGCCGGCUGUCCACAGCUGGAGCGGCUGACGGCGAGGGGGCUGGAGCCGGCGCUGGAGCUCUGCCUGCCGCCGGCCGGCCUCCCCUCCCUCCGACACCUGGACGUGACGUGCUCCCGUGAAGUCACCGACUCCACGCUGAAGCGGCUGCCCGACCUGCUGCCAGGCCUGCACUCACUCAGCAUAUACGGGUGUCACGGGGUGACGGCUGUUGGGCUGGACAGCCUGCCGCGGCUCAGGCAGCUGUGUCAGCUGGACCUGACCUGUCUGUCAGCUGUGACGGACGCCACACUGGACCGGCUACACGGGCCGCGUCUGAGGAUGCUGGACCUGUCCGUGUGCCAGUCUUGUUCAACAGAUGGUGUCACACGGCUGGUGCUCGGCUGUCCGUCGCUGACGGUACUGGGGUGGUGGUGGUCUGACCUACGCCGGACCAGGUCCCUGGUAGACAGCCUGGUGCGCCAGCUGCCCCCGGACCGUGACGUCACACUCGAGGUCAACGCCGGGGAUCUGCAGCGUCUGCCGCCGCUGCCGCCCGGCCCGCUCAGCCUGAGGGAAUAUAAGCCAUGGUGGACUUCAUGAACAACGAACGAGGAUGGCGGCGGCGGCGGCGACUGCAGUGGUGCAUGUUGAAGUAUCGUUGCCGGGCCGCUGCAGUGGGGCAGCAAGCGGCAUCGAGUGCGGCGAGCAGCCGACCAAGCCGUGACGGCGGCCCGGCUGCCCGCCGCUGUCGCCUGCCGGCCGCCGGCCUGAUUCGGCUGACAACAGUGAAGCAGUCAGGUCUGGCGAGAACUCACGCGCAUCAAGUGCCACUGGUGCCGGUCGGGCCAGGACAGGUUGGUUCGGAAUGCGGUGUCGCUGGUGGAAGCGGCCUCGCUCUCGGCCAAGCCAUGCACCUCGUGCCGUAUGCUAACCGACUUUGUGCAGCUGAAGGACGGCGACGUCGUGACACGGCACGGCGCCAACAGUGAGGUGGACCAGACUCCAGCCGUGUCGAGUGUGCAGUAGCCGGUCGGUAGACGUGGUGCGGGCGCGGGAUGACCUGGACGAGCUGCGCCAGUACCUGACGGGCCCGGGCGCCACCGGUUGGUCGGCAUCGGCGACUGGCGCCGGGCUGUCAGCCGCAUCAGACCCGGUGGCGGUCGCGUCGGCGCCGGGCGAAUCCUUAGCUUCGACGGCCGGCUGGUGGGACAGUCGCCGGCUCCGCGCCGAGAUGGCCGAACAGAGCAGACGAGAGCCGGCACAGACCGCGGUGCCGCCGUCAGCCGCAGGACACAGCUCGUCCGUUGGACGGCGGCCACAGCGCAGAGGCGCGCAACGCUCGGCGUGAUAGACCACGAUGAGGAAGAGCAGGACGCGCCCCAGGACCAGACGUGCUCCUCUGGGGAGGGGGAGAGGAGGGGCUCCUUCUCGAUGAUGAGCAGCCUGCGAAUCUCCUGUCGUUGGCAUUGGCUGGUGUUCGCUGCGAGAAGUUAGGUGCUGCGGCAUCUCGGCCAGCCCCAGCUGCUGCAGCUGGGGCGUGGGCCCGUCCGGCACCGGGACCGACAUGAGCGCGUCCAGCGUAGCAGGAGUGGAUCGGACGAGGGCGGCGCCUGGUGCACAGCCGGCCCCCGCGCAGCCGACACCGGAGGCGCAGCAGCAGCCGCCGGCAACGGAGCCGCGCCACCACUGCCACCACAGUCAGACCUUGGAACUGGUGUGUGUCCGUGUCCCACGGCGGAAGCACGGCACGCCGCGGAACCUAGCGGACAUGAGGCGCGCCUCGGACAGGGCAACUGACCCCACUUAAAUAAAUAGGCAUUGUUUUGUACCCGCACUCCAUGUUUGGCUAAGCGUGAAAUCACCUACCUAAAAACCUCCAGGUAACCGGAAGACGGGACACGUGCGCCACUUCUCCAGAGUGAUCUUUGAACUGUCACCGUGGAGUUGUGUGUCGCACCGGUCCGGAAACGUUAGGUCAAAGUUGUAAUACCGUUGCAAUACGUAAUCCCCCGGGCCGGAUCCGAACCUGUCGACCACUGCUUCGGACCUGCACCCUCUGCCACUUACCACUGCGUCGGGCGCCCCGCGGGAGCUGGAGUCGCUGAGAGAUGGCUCCCUUCUGUCAGUGGGUUCGCCGCUAGUGAAGGUGAGACCCCGUGUGGAUGGGGACGGACCGCUGUUGGCCACAACGAGGACCGACGAGCCGCCUGUAGUGGUUGUGCCCGAGUGGAGUCACAUCACAGCGCUGGUGGUGGACGAGAGGCAUCGUCGAUGUUUCCACCAGGGCGUCCGCGUCACUCUUGCUCUUUUCUCUGCAGAGCAUUUCAUUCACAGGAGAACCAUGGACGGGGUCGUCGGCACAUGCGGUAGGUGUCGGUGCCACAACGGAUUCCCCAUCGGUAUGCGGAGAGCCUUCUGCCACCAUUCCAGGUGCUGCGGUGCUGGAGCAGCCCCGGGGCCGACCCACCCGUCUGCCGGCAGUUGGCGAGGUCAUCCUGGUCCACGGCGGAGGCCCUCGCGGCUGGUGACCCUCGGCCAGGGUGGCUUCGCUCAUCAAAGGACCGGACGGCCGCUGCCGUGCCGCGGCAAUCCUGCUCCGCGGAAAUCUCACUCGCCGACCCACCGCCAAGCUGUACCGGCUGGAGGCAUCGCCAGACACCACCUGUGACCGUGACGCGGACCUGAGCCGGUCGUCGUGUGGCACGCCUGCGGCGGUGUUUAGCGCGGCUCGGCACCGAACGAGCGAGGUGAUGCGCGAGCAGUGGUGCCGCCCACGGGCGGGCGUGCGCGUACCGUGACGCCGUUGGACGGUCGACGCGAAAUGGUGGCGUCGACCCAGCUGCUGAGUCCAGGUGUCGUGACUGUGUCUUGGGUGCAAAAUAAAAGUAGCUAUUGUGCUCCA
rnacentral:misc_RNA from 1 species